rnacentral:rRNA from 1 species
GACGAACGCUGGCGGCGUGCCUAAUACAUGCAAGUAGAACGCACAGUUUAUACCGUAGCUUGCUACACCAUAAACUGUGAGUUGCGAACGGGUGAGUAACGCGUAGGUAACCUGCCUGGUAGCGGGGGAUAACUAUUGGAAACGAUAGCUAAUACCGCAUAAUAUUAAUUAUUGCAUGAUAAUUGAUUGAAAGAUGCAAUUGCAUCACUACCAGAUGGACCUGCGUUGUAUUAGCUAGUAGGUGAGGUAACGGCUCACCUAGGCGACGAUACAUAGCCGACCUGAGAGGGUGAUCGGCCACACUGGGACUGAGACACGGCCCAGACUCCUACGGGAGGCAGCAGUAGGGAAUCUUCGGCAAUGGACGAAAGUCUGACCGAGCAACGCCGCGUGAGUGAAGAAGGUUUUCGGAUCGUAAAGCUCUGUUGUAAGAGAAGAACGGGUGUGAGAGUGGAAAGUUCACACUGUGACGGUAUCUUACCAGAAAGGGACGGCUAACUACGUG